rnacentral:rRNA from 1 species
UACGUAGGGUGCGAGCGUUAAUCGGAAUUACUGGGCGUAAAGCGUGCGCAGGCGGUUUUGUAAGACAGGCGUGAAAUCCCCGGGCUUAACCUGGGAACUGCGCUUCUAACUGGCAGGCUUGAGUGUGGCAGAGGGGGGUGGAAUUCCACGUGUAGCAGUGAAAUGCGUAGAGAUGUGGAGGAACACCGAUGGCGAAGGCAGCCCCCUGGGCUAACACUGACGCUCAUGCACGAAAGCGUGGGGAGCAAACAGG